UUAUCGAUCUUUUGAUUGCUUAACGACACAAGAUUUUUAACCCAGUUCCCUUGCGGUACCUCUGGGGUGGGAACCGUCUCCCACAACAUCCACUAUCAAUCAAAGGGUUUACACAAACGCUCUAAGCGCUCAAUAGAAAAGACACAACAAAGAAUAUGAGAGAUCAAAGAAACUCUAUCCCGGAGCGACAUGACUCGACAAUGUCUCCUAAGUUUCUUCUACCCGAUCUCUCUCCCGACUCCCUCUUUGUUCUAUUUCUUGUGUUUCGGAUCAUCUUUCGACUUGAGCUCCCAUUCCUUUAUAUAAUGCAGCCAGCACCGACUUGGCAAUUUCCUUUAGCUUACGUACUUUACUUUUCUUAGUUACGUACGAAUCCAUAUACUAACCGACGUCUUUGUGUGCAGGUAUCUUGAAGCUGGACUUUGAAGGAUAUUAAAGUAUGGGCCAAGAAGUUUGGGCCUAAGCCCAACAAUCUCCACCUUUAGACCCUAAACUUUCUACCUUCACUUCUCUGCGUAUCACUUCCUCUCGUUCAUACCGUCGCACCUCUGCAACAAUGAACUUUGUUUCACCGUUUCAGAUGACAGCUCCUACGGCUCGUGUUUUCCAAGUGAUGCGAACCGAUUCAACUUCUAAAGACUUCAUCUUGCUCUCCAGUAACACUUAACCAUCAUUGCGCAGCCGUUGAUGGUUCUCCACCGUUCAAGACCCACCAUCGAUACUGAAGAUCGCGAUUCUUCAUUAAUGGUGAAUCUUGUUUUGCCUGAAUCAAGUUGAUCAAUCUUACCGGAGUUCUGCAGUUUCCAUGACGACCUUUGGCAAUUUCUCUGUUUGAUGAUCUUUAUCACAAGCUUCCCUUUCUGCUGUUGAAUCUCGAUCAUCGUUGAUGCACCACUGUCUCUAACGAGACCCACCGGAGCCAUCAAUAGUGACGUUUCUUGCCGCAUUCCUCUCUGCAUCUCCCUGCGGUGUCCUUCUCGCCAUUACUCCACCUGGAGCUGCUUCACCACAGCUACUGCAACUUUCGACCACUUCUCUGCACCAUUAAGAGUACGUAAUACUUGACGUUGGCCUUAACCCUUUGAUUAUUCCCUUGAUAGUGAACAUAACUUGAUGCAACUUCAACAUGAAUCUUUGCAUCCUCUGGCAUAAGGCUUCGAGGCCAUUACCCAAUCUUCUCCGAUGAACAACCGCAUCUCCUCAGCUGUGCUGAUAACUCGAGCUGCUCCACCUGAAGCGAAUAUCACUUCACCAUAGCUUUGUACCUUUCGUAGGUAUCUUGAAGCUGGACUUUGAAGGAUAUUAAAGUAUGGGCCAAGAAGUUUGGGCCUAAGCCCAACAGACUAUGUUUGUAAUAAGACAUGCCUCUCUGAUUUUAUUCUUUCCCAGCCCUAAUAGUCAUCUUCGUCAUCUUCUUCAUUUCUUGAUC